ACAAACUUGGUCAUUUAGAGGAAGUAAAAGUCGUAACAAGGUUUCCGUAGGUGAACCUGCGGAAGGAUCAUUACCGAAGUACAGGCCCUCUUGUAGGGCUACACUUCCACCCUUUGUUUACCAUACCAUGUUGCUUUGGCGAGACGUCUUCGGACCACCGGCCCUCGGGCGGGUGCGCGCUCGCCAGAGAAAAAUCAAACCCAAACCAUUUUAAGUGUCGUCUGAAAAACAAGUUUAAAUUAUUAAAACUUUCAACAACGGAUCUCUUGGCUCUGGCAUCGAUGAAGAACGCAGC
rnacentral:misc_RNA from 1 species